rnacentral:lncRNA from 1 species
UUGCAAGGCUCUUGAUGAUAUAUCCAUUUUCAUCAAAUUCUUAAGGGUAUGGUCAAUUGGAGAAGACAUUACUAUGACUACAAAGAUCUGUUUUUCAGGUGAUGAAUUGUAACCUUAUAUUCUUUAUUACUUGGAAUUGAAAAUCACUAAAACCAAACCAUAAUUACUUUGAAGAGAAUAUUUUAUUGUUUUCUGUCAUGCUCUUGUUCAGCGUAGGAUGCAUAUCAAUUAUCACUAUCAUGGUAUAUUAUUGCCAUUGAGGAAUCUUCCCAUGUAGCAAAUUUACCUCGAAAGUACAAAACUUUGGCAGAUCACCAUCAGGUGCAGACAGGUACGUACAUUUAUACAGAAUUUAUGAUAAUUCAAGGCACUUCACGCCCAGGAAAGCAACAUUCAGGCAAGUCUCCAUCACUACAACUACAUCCACCAAGUUAAAGAAAAGGUUUCCAAGUCACCUCAAUAGCAAACUCAAAGGAAAAUAAUGGAUUCACACAGCUUUAAAGUAGGCAUUUCUGAAAAUAAAAUCAAAAUUGAAUUAGAACACAACUUACAAAAUUAAGGCGAUUGGGAGAUAUGACAAAAUUCCUGAAAUCUCAUAACAUUUGUAUCUGAAUGGCAACAGAAAAAAGAAAAAAAUCUGAAUAACAGUAAUUAAAAGGAUAGAACACAUAGUCAAAAUUAGAAGGAUUGAACAACAUUAGCUUUAAAUAGAAUUAGCUCGUUGAGGCUGCAAGAACAACAUACAAAGCUAGCAUGGC